UAGCUCUGUUGAUAGAGUGCUUGCCUCACAUGCAGGAGGUCCUGGGUUCAAUCCCCAG
rnacentral:tRNA from 1 species